CAAUUGUGGGCAUUUGAACGUGUGGACUGGAUAAUAACAUUGCAUUCGUGUUAUAUUUCCUGAAUUAGGUCAUGGCCCCCGGGUUAUGCCAAUGGAAAUCCUUGCCUUCAGGAGGUACUAUGAAGUAUCCAAGGGUCAGGAGCCGUCAUGCUGGCAACUUACUCUCAGACAGUUGGGCAACAAAAAUAACAACGUGAUAAACGGAGAGAGAGGGAAGGGCUGCGGCGAAGGCAGGUUAACAGGGACCGCGCUCCAGCACAGAGCUUCAGCGAGCAUCGCCCGAAAGGGCAGACGGCAGGAGCCAAAGAGUCCCUUAGCAAGCCCAGGAGGUGACGCCGCAGGGCAAGGGGCCUCCUGCCUGGGGACACUGAGGUGAUUGGGGACGACCGGCUGGCCCUUAGGUGAAACACUCUCCUCCACAGGCUGUCGCAAUAGCGGUCCACAAGGAGAGGCCGUGGGAGAGAGCCUUUUCCUGGAUGACGCUUGGGUCUAUUAUGGGAACAGAACUACGAUGAUAAGAAAAACCGAGUGUCAUCCAGAAACCCCAAAUCAGCUGCUUCCAGACUUCCCCCAGGAGAUGUCCCCCAGUGGUCAGAUGGAGCUGUCCUCACCCUCCCUUCGGCAAAUGAAAUAUAAUUAGGAGAAAAACAGAGUGCUCAGAGAAUUCAUUGAUUUCAUCCGCCCGAUCUUCCACUUCUGAGAGCACUGAAGUUCCCUGAAUAACUCAGAGAAGAUUGUUGAAUUAUAGUGUUUGCUUGUGAUUCAGAAGCAAAAAUUUUUCCAAAUGUCUUAGCAAGAAAAUGACAUCUGAGGGGCCAUUAUGAGUGACUCAGCGGGUGUGGGAAGAUCAUCAGAUGAACUGAGUUCUACUUUCUUGUACUCUGCUUCGAUGUGUGUUCUCUGACUGUAAAAGAAAGUUCCGGGAGGAUGAAUAAGUAACUAAGUGUGCAGUUCCUGAUAAGCAACGUUCUGCAGCAGGAACAGAGAUAAGCAUAAUAUGGGGCAGCACCUAGAGCUGAAAUCAAACAAAAAUAUAUUCUUCUUCAAGCCCAGUGUUUGUCCAAGAAAUCUCUGUUGUAUGAGUCUCAGAAAUCCAUUCGUUUAUCCAACAAACA
rnacentral:lncRNA from 1 species